rnacentral:tRNA from 1 species
GGAUGUGGCUCAGAGGUAGAGUGCUCGCCUAGCAUGUACGAGGCACUGGGUUCGAUCCUCAGCACCA